AUUGAACGCUGGCGGCAUUGCUUUACACAUGCAAGUCGAACGGGUAACAGGGAAAAGCUUUGCUUUUCUGCUGACGAGUGGCGAACGGGUGAGUAAUACAUCGGAACGUGCCCUGUAGUGGGGGAUAACUACUCGAAAGAGUGGCUAAUACCGCAUACAACCUGAGGGUAAAAGUGGGGGACCGCAAGGCCUCACGCUAUAGGAGCGGCCGAUGGAAGAUUAGGUAGUUGGUAGGGUAAAGGCCUACCAAGCCGACGAUCUUUUAGCGGGUCUGAGAGGACGAUCCGCCACACUGGGACUGAGACACGGCCCAGACUCCUACGGGAGGCAGCAGUGGGGAAUUUUGGACAAUGGGGGCAACCCUGAUCCAGCAAUGCCGCGUGAGUGAAGAAGGCCUUCGGGUUGUAAAGCUCUUUUGUUUGGGAAGAAAUCCCUAAGGAUAAUACCCUUGGGGGAUGACGGUACCAAAAGAAUAAGCACCGGCUAACUACGUG
rnacentral:rRNA from 1 species